rnacentral:rRNA from 1 species
CAUACGAAUGGCCGGUACAAAGGGCAGCAACCGCGAGGGGGAGCCAAUCCAUCAAAGCCGGUCGUAGUCCGGAUCGCAGUCUGCAACUCGACUGCGUGAAGUCGGAAUCGCUAGUAAUCGUGGAUCAGCAUGUCACGGUGAAUACGUUCCCGGGUCUU